AUACGUAGGGUGCAAGCGUUAAUCGGAAUUACUGGGCGUAAAGCGUGCGCAGGCGGUUUUGUAAGACAGUGGUGAAAUCCCCGGGCUCAACCUGGGAACUGCCAUUGUGACUGCAAGGCUGGAGUGCGGCAGCGGGGGGUGGAAUUCCGCGGGUAGCAGUGAAAUGCGUAGAUAUGCGGAGGAACACCGGUGGCGAAGGCAAUCCCCGGGGCCUGCGCUGACGCUCAUGCACGAAAGCGUGGGGAGCAAACAGGAUUAGAUACCCUGGUAGUCCACGCCCUAAACGAUGUCAACUGGUUGUUGGGGAUUUAUUUUCUCAGUAACGAAGCUAACGCGUGAAGUUGACCGCCUGGGGAGUACGGCCGCAAGGUUAAAACUCAAAUGAAUUGACGGGG
rnacentral:rRNA from 1 species